rnacentral:rRNA from 1 species
CGUUGGUUGUCCAGGUGAAAGGUUGUAGGCAUGUAUCUUAGGCAAAUCCGGGGUACUCUAUGCUGAGAACUGAUAGCAAGCUGUACUUGUACAGUGAAGUGGCUGAUACCAUGCUUCCAGGAAAAGUCUCUAAGCUUCAGUUACACAGGAAUCGUACCCGAAACCGACACAGGUGGUCAGGUCGAGUAGACCAAAGCGCUUGAGAGAACUCUGCUGAAGGAACUAGGCAAAAUGGUACCGUAACUUCGGGAGAAGGUACGCUGCCGACGGAGAUGGGAUUUACUCCCUGAGCGGUUGGCAGCCACAGAAACCAGGCCCCUGCAACUGUUUAUUAAAAACAUAGCACUCUGCAAACACGAAAGUGGACGUAUAGGGUGUGAUGCCUGCCCGGUGCUGGAAGGUUAAUUGAUGGGGUUAGCGUAAGCGAAGCUCUUGAUCGAAGCCCCAGUAAACGGCGGCCGUAACGAUAACGGUCCUAAGGUAGCGAAAUUCCUUGUCGGGUAAGUUCCGACCUGCACGAAUGGCAUAAUGAUGGGGGCGCUGUCUCCAGCAGAGACUCAGUGAAAUCGAAUUCGCCGUGAAGAUGCGGUGUACCCGCGGCUAGACGGAAAGACCCCGUGAACCUUUACUGCAGCUUGACAUAGAACUUUGAUCUUACUUGUGUAGGAUAGGUGGGAGGCUUUGAAACUCGGACGCUAGUUUGAGUGGAGCCAAUCUUGAAAUACCACCCUGGUAAUAAUGAGGUUCUAACUCUGCUCCAUUAUCUGGAGCGAGGACCAUGUCUGGUGGGUAGUUUGACUGGGGCGGUCUCCUCCUAAAGAGUAACGGAGGAGUACGAAGGUGCGCUCAGCGUGGUCGGAAAUCACGCGUAGAGUAUAAAGGCAAAAGCGCGCUUAACUGCGAGACCCACAAGUCGAGCAGGUACGAAAGUAGGUCUUAGUGAUCCGGUGGUUCUGUAUGGAAGGGCCAUCGCUCAACGGAUAAAAGGUACUCUGGGGAUAACAGGCUGAUACCGCCCAAGAGUUCAUAUCGACGGCGGUGUUUGGCACCUCGAUGUCGGCUCAUCUCAUCCUGGGGCUGAAGCAGGUCCCAAGGGUACGGCUGUUCGCCAUUUAAAGAGGUACGCGAGCUGGGUUUAGAACGUCGUGAGACAGUUCGGUCCCUAUCUACCGUGGGCGUUGGAAAUUUGAGAGGAUCUGCUCCUAGUACGAGAGGACCAGAGUGGACGAACCUCUGGUGUACCGGUUGUGACGCCAGUCGCAUCGCCGGGUAGCUAUGUUCGGAAGGGAUAACCGCUGAAAGCAUCUAAGCAGGAAGCCUACCUCAAGAUAAGAUUUCCCAAGGACUUUAUGUCCUCUAAAGAGCCGUUGAAGACUACGACGUUGAUAGGUUGGAUGUGGAAGUGCAGUGAUGCAUGAAGCUGACCAAUACUAAUUGCUCGUGAGGCUUGAUU